AAAGCAGCAGAGUAAGUCCAAGGUAGGCUGGGUCGCUGUAAAGUGGCCUAACUUCUACCGAAGGGUAGAUAAAUCGGCCUCUUGGGGUCUGCUGCUUU
ncrna:unclassified sequences DTF3800-III RNA